rnacentral:rRNA from 1 species
CUAAUACCGCAUAAGCCCACGGCUCGGCAUCGAGCAGAGGGAAAAGGAGUAAUCCGCUUUGAGAUGGCCUCGCGUCCGAUUAGCUAGUUGGUGAGGUAACGGCCCACCAAGGCGACGAUCGGUAGCCGGACUGAGAGGUUGAACGGCCACAUUGGGACUGAGACACGGCCCAGACUCCUACGGGAGGCAGCAGUGGGGAAUAUUGCACAAUGGGGGAAACCCUGAUGCAGCGACGCCGCGUGGAGGAAGAAGGUCUUCGGAUUGUAAACUCCUGUUGUUGGGGAAGAUAAUGACGGUACCCAACAAGGAAGUGACGGCUAACUACGUGCCAGCAGCCGCGGUAAAACGUAGGUCACAAGCGUUGUCCGGAAUUACUGGGUGUAAAGGGAGCGCAGGCGGGAAGACAAGUUGGAAGUGAAAUCUAUGGGCUCAACCCAUAAACUGCUUUCAAAACUGUUUUUCUUGAGUAGUGCAGAGGUAGGCGGAAUUCCCGGUGUAGCGGUGGAAUGCGUAGAUAUCGGGAGGAACACCAGUGGCGAAGGCGGCCUACUGGGCACCAACUGACGCUGAGGCUCGAAAGUGUGGGUAGCAAACAGGAUUAGAUACCCUGGUAGUCCACACCGUAAAC